GGAAAAGGAGACGCAGGACCAGCAGGAAGACCCGAGUCGUCCCCAGGUCAUCAAUAGUGACAUCUGUGGCUUCAAAGGCACUUGGAAUCACGUGGUGGAAGCGCCUGCCAAAGAGGCAGCUGGUGGAGUGGCUGUUUCUACGGUGGAGUGGUGCUGGGUGGCGGCCAUCAUGGAGCGGCGAGGAGGGGCGCUCGAAUACCUUUGCUCAGGCGCCCUCGUGGAGGCCGACCUCGUCCUCACUGCAGCCUCCUGUCUCAAGAGACUGAACAUGAGUGACCUGUACCGCUACAUCGUGAUUCUCGGCGACAGCAACCUGAGCGAGGACCUGCCCUACGGGGUGCAGUUCCACUCCGUCGCUGAAGUGGUCAUCCACCCGACCUAUUCCACCUCCG